rnacentral:tRNA from 1 species
GGACCCCUAACUCAGCGGUAGAGUGGCGGGCUUUUAACCCGCAGGUCCUGGGUUCGAAUCCCAGGGGGUCCACAA